AGAGAGAGAGAGAGAGAGAGAGAGAGAGAGAGAGAGAGAGAGAGAGAGAGAGAGAGAGAGAGAGGGUAUUUAUACAUGGUUAUGGUAAUAUAUUUGUAGAUCAAUGAUACAUAUUUUACAAAAUGUGACAUUCACAUAUGAAAAAGUAAUAUUUAUUUUCCCUUGUAAGAAAUGUAUAUUUCCUGAUUUAAUGUAUCUGUGUUCAUUGCUUCCACGUAAGGAUGAUGUGUGUAACUAACUGAACUUUGGUUGCAUUAAAAAUUCGUAAGAAAAAUGAAAAUGGAAAGAUGUAUGUGUUUUGAUAGAGUUUAUACUAAAAACAAGAAAUGAUGGUUUACUAGGUGUUUGUUGUUUUGAGUAAUGGUAAGUUUUAUUACGAUUAUUACUUCAUAACAAUACCGCCGUGAUCAGUUGCAACUUGCAAUUACUCUCUAAAUGAACUUCUCGUUUUAAUUUCUCUACUUUCUAAGUUGCAUUUACCGGUUGACUAAACUUAUUUAUAUUUUCUGAUGCAUCACUUAUUUCUACCAAUACUCUCUGCCCUAAUAAACUUAUUUUCUAUAUUUUAGUAACCGGAUAAAUCAUGGAUUGCAUCUCAUAUUAAUUCAAAGCCUAUAAAAUUGUUCUUUGGCAGUGGACAAGUAAGAAAAACAAAGUCUGGAGAGAGUAAAAUAUUGUAUUGCUAUAUACCGUAAACUUUUAAGCAACAUGCAUUCAUCAUUCAUGAGACAUCCCAGUCAGAAAAAGUAAUUUUACUUUGUUUUCACCAUUUUUAUUUUAUUUUCUAUGUUUUGAUUGUGGUUUAGUGAAUAUUUUAAGGCCGUGCGAGGCAAAGAAAACAUGAGGGAAGGGUAUAUACAUAUAUAUAUGUGUACGCGAAAUUGUUAUAGAUGAACGUUAUUAACUCUUCUCUUUUUUUUUUGAUAAGUCACUUCAUUUGUUUUACCAAAGUCACAUUCACAUAUGAAUGUUUAUUUUACCUUAGAAGAAAAGUAUACCUCUUGAUGUUGAUGUAUUUUGUGUAUAUGUCUUCCACGAGGGGCUGGUGUGACUCACACCGUGUGAGUAAUAAAUGAACCUUGACUUUUUUUUGUCAACUUGUUCAUUUCAUGGAAAUGAAAACCCCAUUGGGCAGUACAGAUGGAUCAGAAAAUAUAAAGAUUAAAGCCCAUUAAGGGUAAAUGAACCUUGAUUUGCAUUAGAAAUCCCCAAGGAGAGGAAAAUUUGACUAAGGGCCAAGGGUAUACGCUAAAGGGUAUACACGUUUAUGGAUUCUACUUGACCCAUUAUAGUAAAUUCAAUCGGCCCAUUAGAAAUAGUAUCAGUCGGUAGGUGAUAAAUAGUUAAAAAGAAAAGCCAUUAGUAAAUAAAUUAACUGAUAGAACUUUAGAAUAAUGAUAUUCCCAAAAAUGGAAUGGUAAAGUGAGAAAUCUGGAAAUUAGUGAAAAAGUCUAUGAAAGUGACAACAAAAUUUAAUGGUAAAUCCUCACUAAAUCAUGUCGAAUUUAUUUUGUCGGGCCAUUAUUAUUUUACUUUUCUUUGGCCCCUUAUUUAAAAAAAUAUUAUUUAUCGCCCACUUGUUUAACCAUUGACUCAUUUGUUUGUUUUUUACUUACAAAAAAAUAUUUUUUAACCAUGUCCAAAUAUUCAAUAUUAACCACAUAUUAUUAAAGAAAAAUGCUUAUGGGUUAUGAUUGAUUUACUAUUUAUUUUUAAAACAUCAAUAAGUUUUUUUACAUUGGAUUCUAAUUUGAUCGACAGCAUAUCCGGAAUACUAAAAAACAUCUUUAUAAACCGUAAGGUGCGAAUCUUUUUAAAAACGAAUAAUUGGUGUACAACUUUUGAAUCACUGAAAUGUUUAGCAAAUUAUACCAAUUUACAGUAAUUAUUUCAAUAUGCCUGACAUUUCAAAUACCAAACUCUCUUUAGAUAGUGUAUGCCAUUUGUCUAGCUACUUUUGUCUUAGGCCAUUGUUUCAUUUUUUAUAAAGCAUAGUAAGCUAGAAGAAUGUCUUUGCAUAUGUUGAUAUGAAGAUCGAAAAAACUGUUGCGGAGAAAUCAAUCACACAAGUACAUGGUUCUUGCUAUUAUUUCCAAUCAGACAAGUAUAUGUCUUGUCAAACAAAGAAGUUGAAUAUACGAAAAUGAAAUCCAAUAAGAAAAUGAACAGAAAGAAGUGGACUAUAAAAGUUCAAGAAUAAAGUUGACUAUAUAUACAUGGAAAAUAUUGGGAUGUUACAUUAGAGCACUUAGUUUUAUGUAGAUAUUUAGUCGAAUCAAAAUCUUGUUUUGAAUGCACAAGUAUAAAUGAUGACAAAAACAAACACUCCCCCGUUUAUAUGUAAUUUUACCCCUAAUUAAUAUUAGUUUAUUUGCAUUUGAUCACAUAAACAAAAGUUUCAGGUAUCUGAAUGGUGACAGUCAGCAAAGCCCAAUGGUGACAGUCAUCACAUAAACAAAAAGUUUCAGAAACACAAGGAAUUUCGUAAGAGCUUUUGGUUCAACCCAUAGGUCUCUCACUCUCCCUGGUUUUAUGCAAAGGCACGCAUCAUUAUGCAUUUAAUACUACUGAACAUGUACAUUGAGUGAGAGAGACGCACCAAAAGGAGACUGAGACUUAAGCUCUAGGACACACAACUCACAAUCAUGGCAUGUGGAAGUCAGGGCUCCUACAACGUACUCCCUCCGUUUCUUUUUGUGUGAUGUUUUAGAAUAUAUUUUGUUUCAAUUUAUAUGAUGUUUUGAAACUUUCUAUGUAAAAUUAUUAAAGUAAUUAAUUAAAAUAUUAAAAAUUAAUGUAUAGUUCUUGUCUUAUUUGUUUAGAAUAGCAAUGAUUAGUUUUUUUGGUUAUUUUUGUUGUUGUAAUUGAGUGCUUUUUGCAAAAGUAUAGUUUUCCUAAUUUGUGUGUUUAUAUAUAACGGAAUCAUAUACUAUGAUGCACACAUCUUAUGUUAGUUAAUUCGGUCUAGAGAGCUGUAAGCAAGUAACCAACCAGUGAACAUGAACGCUUUCAAGACACGACUUGAGAUCGAUUUGGUUUCUUUUGUCUUUUUUUUUUGUUAAAUGGUUUCUUUAACAUUGCAAAGAAAAUAUGAUGUAGAUGGAGACCUUGAAAGCAGUUAAUAUUUUUAUCAUGAGAUAACCUACAAUGAUAUUUGUUUUUUUUCCUAAAUGAAACAACAUAAAUUAUUUUUGUAUGGUUGGAAAAAAGAAUUAUUUAUUACAAUUUUUUUCUAUAGAAGAGACAUGACCAAUGAGGUCUUCAAAAAAAAAAAGACAUGACUAAUGUAUCCGGAAAAUAUAAAUUUACAGACAUGUCAAGUAUUUAUCUGGUUUGACAUGACUAAUGUAUUGGUUUGAUUUCAUCUUUUUAAUUAACUGGAUUUGUUUGCUAAAAAAAAAUAUUAACUGGAUUUGUCAAAAGCUAGUCAGGUGAUAGUGAAUUCGUAACACGUGUCGAGCGCUGAUACAAAAUUGAAGUAAACGGAGUCCGUUAAAAGCAACGUUGCGGCCGUACCCUUAUGCUGAAAGCCGCUAUUUUGGUAUAACCGUAUAUCUAGGAAGAGACCCCUCAUCUGAUAGAUUAGAAGUUCGCGUAAUUAUUACCUACAAAAGAGAACAGAAAAUUGACAGGAAAAUAAUUUUGGCAGACUUAAAGAAUUAAUAGCACCCAAGUCAAGUGGGAAGAAACUACCUCAGUUUUUCAGAAAAAAAAAUAUUAAUAUGUUUUUUUGAGCAAAACAAAAUAAUCUUUAUGAUCACAUAAUUAUGUUUUAUUUUUGUAAUAAUAAAUGUGACCAUCGAUUUUAUGCCUUGUAUAAACUGGGUCUCUUACACUUGUGUCAUACUGUUUCUUACAAAAAACUGUCUAUAACUCUUUUUUUUUUUUAUUAGACUGUCUCCAAUACACCUCUAUUUUUAUCUCUAUAUUUUCCUCUAAAAUAGAUAAACUCUAUUAUAGAGGCAUACAUUAGAGCAAAUCCACCUCUAUAAUAGAAAUCUCUAUUUUAAAGGAAAAAAUAUAGAGAUAUACAUUGAAGAUGUUUUAUUUAGAGAUGAAAAUAGCAAAUCUCUAUAUUUUCUCCUAUAAAUAGAGGAACUCUAUUAUAGAAUAGAUGCAUACAUUGGAGCAAAUUCACUUCUACAAUAUAGUUUUUCUAUUUUAUAGAAAAAUAUAGAGAUAAAAUAGAGAUUGGUUGGAGAUGGUUUAAGAAGCUCCUUAAAUAUCCCCACUAAUGAUAGCCUAAGUCAUCGGUGGUCUUCAAAAUUUCUCCCAUAUGCCAUAUCAUACAAUGCCGAAAAAGGUAUCAAAAAUAAUAUUUAAUCGCAUAUCAACUCUAUAUUUACUUGCAUUACAUGUGUUGUUGAUUUGGUAUGUUUCUGAUAAAUAAUACCCUUGAUUAAACGAGUAUUAUGGGGAACACUUUUUGCAAGCUUCAUUUACAAUGCAUGUAAGAACAGGAAAGAAAAAAUAAGAGAGGAGCAGAGAGGAAGAGAUCGAGAGGUCAAAUCACUGAAGUCAACAUCACAUCGCUUCACAUGCAAUAAAACACACCAUUGUCUUGUCUUGUCAUAUAUCAUUUUGCAUCCCAACAAAAAUUUAAGAAAUAAUACACUCAGAUGCACUUAUACUCAGAUACUUUGGACUAUCAGAGAUAUCUUCUCGUCACUCUGACUCAUCGUUCUCAACAUCGUUAUCUCACCUAUAGCUAUCAUGGGAAACCCGAGCGCAGUGUUUGGCUCUGUCGCAAGAGGUAGAAGCAUCAAUGGCAUGUUUUUGUUUUUUGCAAGUUGAGUCUCUUACAUUUUGUUUAUUUUUGCUUUAAACCCAAGUUAUUCAAUUGUAAAAUUGUCUCCUCUAACUAACUUCUAACUUUUUGUUUGUUUA